rnacentral:SRP_RNA from 1 species
UAUUGUAUUUGGUACAACAAAAGUGAUGUAAUCAGGUCAGAUUCGGAAGAAAGCAGCCUCGUCGUCCUCCUUUUGUGUGUACCAUUUUUUUAUGAGGU